GGAGGUGUGCCCGAGUGGCUAAAGGGGAUGGGCUGUAAACCCAUUGGCUAUGCCUACCAUGGUUCGAAUCCAUGCGCCUCCACCA
rnacentral:tRNA from 1 species